ensembl:snoRNA SNORA49 small nucleolar RNA, H/ACA box 49
UUUCCUCAGCCUUACUCCAGAGGCUCCACACAACCCAUGGAGUGCCUUGGCAUUGCCUGAGGAUACAGUGAAAGUGUUUCUGAACUGGAUGUCCAGAAGGGGACUUCAUCCCCUUUGAGGCUUACAGUUGGAACAAACAUU